UACCGAGGUCUCAAGCGUUGUUCGGAUUCAUUGGGCGUAAAGGGUGCGUAGGCGGCGCGGUAAGUCGGGUGUGAAAUCUCGGAGCUUAACUCCGAAACUGCAUUCGAUACUGCUGUGCUUGAGGACUGGAGAGGAGACUGGAAUUUACGGUGUAGCGGUGAAAUGCGUAGAUAUUGUAAGGAAGACCAGUGGCGAAGGCGGGUCUCUGGACAGUUCCUGACGCUGAGGCACGAAGGUCAGGGGAGCAAACAGG
rnacentral:rRNA from 1 species